UGAAGCUGGAAUUGCUAGUAAUGGCAGGUCAGCAUACUGCCGUGAAUACGUUCCCGGGCCUUGUACACACCGCCCGUCACACCAUGAGAGUUGGAAAUACCCGAAGCCUGUGAGCUAACUGUAAAGAGGCAGCAGUCGAAGGUAGAGCCAAUGAUUGGGGUGAAGUCGUAACAAGGUAUC
rnacentral:rRNA from 1 species